rnacentral:rRNA from 1 species
GCGUGAGUGAUGAAGGCCUUCGGGUUGUAAAGUUCUUUUUAGCCGGAUGAGGAAGGACAGUACGGCUAGAAUAAGUCUCGGCUAACUACGUGCCAGCAGCCGCGGUAACACGUAGGAGACGAGCGUUAUCCGGAUUUACUGGGUGUAAAGCGCGUGCAGGCGGCUUAGCAAGUUGGAUGUAAAAGCUCCCGGCUUAACUGGGAGAGGUCGUGCAAGACUGCUAGGCUAGAGGACAGCAGAGGGGAGUGGAAUUCCGAGUGUAGCGGUAAAAUGCAU